rnacentral:rRNA from 1 species
AUGAAAUGCAUGAGUUGGAACUGUCGGGGGGCAACCAACAAAACGACAGUUCGCGACUUAGUUGGCAUGGUGAAGGCAACACAGACAAAAAUCUUAUUUUUAUGUGAGACUAGACAGAGUAAGAAAAAAAUAAAAAGAUUACAUAGUAGGUUAGGCCUUAGAGAUUUUUCUGGUGUCACAGGUAAUGGCUUGAGUGGUGGCCUUGCUCUUUUCUGGUGUGAUAGUCUGCAUGUUGAAGUUCAAUCAUUGAAUCAAAGAUAUAUUGAUGCGUAUGUGCGGCUGUCUAAGCAUGAUCCUUUGUGGCGGUUGGCAUGUGUGUAUGGGGAACCACGAACCGAAAAUCAACAUCUCAUGUGGACUCUCAUGACAAGCCUUAAACAAUAA